ACGAAAUAAAUAUAUACCAUGUUAAUAGUUCAGUAUUAAAUCCUGCUUUAAUGGGAGUGCAGUUCCUGCUAGUUCGCCGGUGGCGCUAUUGCGCACAGAGUCUGUGUAUAGACUGCAGCAGAGUUAGGGAGAACUGCUGUGGAUGUGGAUGCUAAGUUAAACCGUGUUGAUCUCACUGUUACUGCUCUGUGUGCAGGGCAAAAUAAAAUCCUCCUCAUCUGAGUCCAGUGUGUGUGUAUUGCUGAAGGGUGAAUGAAGUGGGUUCGGGAGUGAAGUAUAAAGGUCACAUAUAUAUAUAUAUAUA